rnacentral:rRNA from 1 species
CGUGAGUAACCUGCCCCUGACUCUGGGAUAAGCGUUGGAAACGACGUCUAAUACUGGAUAUGAUCACUGGCCGCAUGGUCUGGUGGUGGAAAGAUUUUUUGGUUGGGGAUGGACUCGCGGCCUAUCAGCUUGUUGGUGAGGUAAUGGCUCACCAAGGCGACGACGGGUAGCCGGCCUGAGAGGGUGACCGGCCACACUGGGACUGAGACACGGCCCAGACUCCUACGGGAGGCAGCAGUGGGGAAUAUUGCACAAUGGGCGAAAGCCUGAUGCAGCAACGCCGCGUGAGGGAUGACGGCCUUCGGGUUGUAAACCUCUUUUAGUAGGGAAGAAGCGAAAGUGACGGUACCUGCAGAAAAAGCACCGGCUAACUACGUGCCAGCAGCCGCGGUAAUACGUAGGGUGCAAGCGUUGUCCGGAAUUAUUGGGCGUAAAGAGCUCGUAGGCGGUUUGUCGCGUCUGCUGUGAAAUCCCGAGGCUCAACCUCGGGCUUGCAGUGGGUACGGGCAGACUAGAGUGCGGUAGGGGAGAUUGGAAUUCCUGGUGUAGCGGUGGAAUGCGCAGAUAUCAGGAGGAACACCGAUGGCGAAGGCAGAUCUCUGGGCCGUAACUGACGCUGAGGAGCGAAAGCAUGGGGAGCGAACAGGAUUAGAUACCCUGGUAGUCCAUGCCGUAAACGUUGGGCGCUAGAUGUAGGGACCUUUCCACGGUUUCUGUGUCGUAGCUAACGCAUUAAGCGCCCCGCCUGGGGAGUACGGCCGCAAGGCUAAAACUCAAAGGAAUUGACGGGGGCCCGCACAAGCGGCGGAGCAUGCGGAUUAAUUCGAUGCAACGCGAAGAACCUUACCAAGGCUUGACAUACACCGGAAACGGCCAGAGAUGGUCGCCCCCUUGUGGUCGGUGUACAGGUGGUGCAUGGUUGUCGUCAGCUCGUGUCGUGAGAUGUUGGGUUAAGUCCCGCAACGAGCGCAACCCUCGUUCUAUGUUGCCAGCGGGUUAUGCCGGGGACUCAUAGGAGACUGCCGGGGUCAACUCGGAGGAAGGUGGGGAUGACGUCAAAUCAUCAUGCCCCUUAUGUCUUGGGCUUCACGCAUGCUACAAUGGCCGGUACAAAGGGCUGCGAUACCGUAAGGUGGAGCGAAUCCCAAAAAGCCGGUCUCAGUUCGGAUUGAGGUCUGCAACUCGACCUCAUGAAGUCGGAGUCGCUAGUAAUCGCAGAUCAGCAACGCUGCGGUGAAUACGUUCCCGGGCCUUGUACACACCGCCCGUCAAGUCAUGAAAGUCGGUAACACCCGAAGCCGGUGGCCUAACC